UGCCUCAUUUCUUUUCACUCCCUACUAUUUCCUCCACUCCCUCACACUCUCCUCCUCCACUUUCCCACGAAAAUGGUGCUCCCCUUGCUCCCAUGGCCGGCCAUGGCCAUGGCAAGCCACCAAGAUGAAGCUCUCCCUCUCCCUCAAGCUCCUCCUCACCAUGAGAGCCUCCCUCUCCUUCUUCUCCCCAACCCUAGAUGGUUUUCUCUCCUCUUCUUCUUCCUCCCUUGCUAAGAUUGGAUCUUGAUGCAGGUGCAUGUUGGUCCAAGCAUGGAGAAGCUUGAGCUAUCCUCAGAUCUGAAGUUCUUGAGCAAAAUCCAAAUCGAGUGAUUCAAAGUUCCGCAGAUAGGUAUUGAAAAGAUCUACAACUUGGCGUUGGUCUCAUCCUCAAAUUCGUUACGGAUUUUGCAUGUUCAAGAUCUGGUCAGAUCUGACUUUGUCGAAUUAAACCAGGAGCUUGGGAACGAAUUUUUGAAUGAAACCAAUUGGGGGAUGUUGGGUUAUACCAUGGUGAUAACCGAGAGAGGCAAUUGCUAAGUUGUGAUACUCUCAUACCUUUACUAGACGCGAGCAAUUCCGGAGAAGAAGAAGAAGUGGAAUUGGACAAGGAUUUUAUUUAUAUUGUUGGGAUUCUUAUAUUGAUAGAGUUGAAGAAGUACAGGGACAAAUAAGCCAAG